UUAAAAGGGUAGACUAAAUUGUAAGUCGUUAGAUUCAUAAUCUAAAAAUAUUUAUUUAAUUUCUUUUA
rnacentral:tRNA from 1 species